rnacentral:rRNA from 1 species
GGGUGCGAUCAUACCAACAUUAAUGCACCAUAUCCCAUCAGAACUUUUUAGUUAAGCGCCCUUGGGAUAGAUUAGUACUCAGAUGGGUGACCUCCCAGGAAGUUCUAGUGUUGCACCCU